GUUCUGUUUCAGUAUCUAGAUUUUACUAUAUACAACUUGCUAUGAACUCAGAAAUUAAUUGUUCAAACAGUAUGAUUGGUACUAGUGAUAAUUUAUUGUUCCAUAUGUCCUUCAUGAACAUAGUGAUGAUAGUUUUCCUUGUUUUAAAGUUCUUCAUGAAGAGCAAUGACAACUUUUAGUAUUUACAGGCACAAAAGGUUAUAAGUUUA
rnacentral:misc_RNA from 1 species